rnacentral:lncRNA from 13 species
AGGUCAUGUGUAAAUCAAAUUUAAUAAAUCAAAUCCCACACUUCGUACCUUGGGGAGGCUCUCUCGUCAAAGGAAACUGUGAGUGAAUCCCUUUUUAAUAGAAGUAAUCAGCUCUUCAUUUAUCUGAUUUGUAAGGUAAGACUUUUACGUAUCAGAUUUUCUUAAAGGGAUCAGCAGUCUUCAUUCUGUUGGUGGUAGAAAAUCCAACAGAAUGGUGUAAGUAAAACAACAGCAACAACAGCAAAAAUAGCAAAUUACAGGCUCAUGCAGUAAAAAGGUGUAGGGGUGCACUGGCUUUAGACAUGGCUAUAUUCAGGACCCAAACAAUGACACAGGAUUUUGUUUUUUUUCAUCUUGCAGAUCUGCCUUCUCUUUUGGCUUUGUUCUCAGGUGCUACCUGAAUGAAGCAGCUGCAGCAUCCUUUUCCUGCCAGCUUCAAGUUCAACAAGGAACAUCACUUGCUUCUCUUCCCAGCAGCCUUGGAACUGGCUCUGAGUGUGUCUUCUGCCCAUCCCUGAAAAAAAAUACUAUUUUCAUGGCUCUGGCUAUGAACAUCAGCAUAUAGAGGAUGGAUCACUACCAAAGAAGGCACCCAAAUGUGUCCGUCUCAUCCUGAGGAAACCCACUCAUCUGUACAUGUACUCAGCAAGUGUUUGCUGGCACCUGCUCUGAGUCACAGGGUGUGCUGGGUACUGGAUGCUCAGAGAUGUGGAAGGAGGCUGGACUUUCAAGCUCUAUGAGGUGGAAGAUACCACUGCCGUCCCUAUUUUACAAAUGAUAUGACUUGCCUAAGGUCACACAGCUAGUAAGAGGCAGACUUUGCUCUUGACUCUGAUGGACUGACUUUAGAGCCCAACACUUAAUCCAUGCUUCACUGCCCUCUUCUUUUAAAAAGAGAGCAUGGUGUAAAGAUGGGAGCAGAAGUGGGGAGUUCCCAUCCAGUGGCCUUGAUGCGUCCAUGAAUAUGGACGUAAGAGAAUCUACUGGAGAUGGAUGUGGGGGUGGAGGGAUGUCGGUUAGUGGAAAGUGGAGGUGGCAAGACUUCAGGAGAGUAGAGAGGAUAGGGAGAACCCUCCCUACAAAGUGUGAGCAGGGGUAAGGGAAAAAACAAAGGGUGGGCCAUGAGGCAGACCCAGUUGAAGUUGCCCUGAUUGUUUCAGCUUAAAAUUUCCUUCAAAGUCCUCAGCAGAGAGCUCAGCAGAAAUGGUGUCCCUGGGCCUGAGCUGGGUGAUCCAGGCCAUCCUAGAUCUCAGAUUCUUGAAACUGAUUAGUAUCCUGGAGACCCCAU